AAUGCCAAAUGUGGGUGAAGGGGAGAAGGAAAGCAAAGCACACUGCCAUGUGUGUACCUACGCAACUGUCUUGCAUGCUCUGCUCAUGUACCCCAAAACCUAAAAUCCAAUAAAAAAAAAAAAAGAUUCUAUUUGAUCCACUAAAGGGAAUAAUAUAACAGAUUUUAUGUUUAAAUGUUACUAUUUGCCAUAUUCCAAAAAUCUCUUUUGAAAAUUCAAAAGUGAUGAUGAAAAACUUAGAUACCAACCUAAGAAUGUGCAAGAUGGUACAUAAACUUUUUAAUAUUCCUCUAGGAUGUUAUAAGAGCAAAAAUGUUUGCGACCACUGCUCUGUGAGGCUGAAUGUUUGAUCUCCUGUUCUGUGAGCUACGCCCAGGCCUCCUGCCAAACAGAGAGGAAGUUCAACUAUGAACGAGAUUACAAAAUCGUCUGAAGCUGUAACAGUGAAAACUACUUCAGGGAAGAAAAAGAAUAACAAAGGAAUCAAGAAGAAAAUUGAAGGUCUGAUGGAAGCUGGUCCUUGGUUAGUGAAGUUGCAUUUGCAGAUAAUGGCAUAGAUGGAAGAGGAAACGAAGGAGAAAUGGUUUGUUGGAAUUCAUUCAAACUUUAACAUGCCUGAUCAAAUACUCUGCCCACUUGAGGGAAAGUGACCUUGGAAACAACGUCCUAGGAGAAAUGGCUGCUGCUGACAUACCUGAAGCACUGAGAUCCAGAAAGACAGCCCAACCUGCAGAGAGGUCUCCAGAUGUCAAUUGCAAAACUCAAGUCACAGCCCCCGUAAGAUUCUGAUGUGCCUUCUGGAUCAUCGAAGGAUGAUUAAUUGUGAUUGGCAUAGGGAGAGCAGUAAGUCUUUUAUGAUCCUGCAAUCUUUGAAAAGGAGAGCAUCACGUGUGGAAGGAGCUGGUUCCUGUGGCCACUCCUGCCCUCUCCGUCGCCAGCAUGCAUGACCAGAAUUAACGACGGCUGCUCAUCCUGCUGAUGCAGAGGAGGCAAAGAAAUGUCAUUUUAAAUGAAGCUCCAUGGAAGAUUUUAUAAACAGAUUUGAAAAUGCAAAUUCAACCUUAAGAAAAGUAGAAAGAACUCAGGCUGGGCAUAGUAGCUCACGCCUGUAAUCCCAGCACUUUGGGAGGCCGAGGCAGGCGGAUCACAAGUUUAGGAGUUUGAGACCAGCCUGGCCAAUAUGGUGAAACCCCAUCUCUACUUAAAAAAUACAAAAAAACUUAGUCAGGCGUGGUGGUGCAUGCCUGUAAUCCCAGCUAUUCAAGAGGCUGAGGCAGGAAAAUUGCUUGAACCUGGGAGGCGGACAUUGCAGUGAGCUGAGGUCCCACUACUACACUCCAGCCUGGGCAACAGAGCAAGACUCAGUCUCAAAAAAAAAUAAGAAAGAAAAGGAAAAAGAACUCUUGGUGUGUUACUGGGCAGGUCAAGUGGAAAGAAUUAAGUAGUUCAAGCCUCGGUCUUUACCAUUUCCUCAGAAUGGUCUUAGAGACAUGGCAAAAUCAUAGAUUGCAUUUUUCUUUUAAUGCUCUAGAGUAUUAGAGAGAAUAAUUAUAAUGGCAUUACUGUCCAUUGUAUUGACAUGUUUAAAACUAAAACGGCUACAUUUUUAAACAGCCAAUCAAGUGGUUCCAUGAUGUUUAAAUUAUCCCUUCAUUUUAGAGAAACAGAACAUGGAACACUUUGUAUUCCAUUAAAGUUGAAUUCAAAUUCAGCAGAGUUACUCUGUUAAAUUUAGUUCAAAAAUAGCUUUAAGCUUGAUAAACCAAAGGCAGGUUAAUGCUUUCAUUUUGUCUUUCCUGGCACCACAGUAACUUUUUCGUUAUACACUGAGGGAGAAGAUGUUACAAGACAGCAGGCAGUCUUGUGACCAUGACUGUACUGAGUGCUAAUGACAAUCAGUCUCAGAUGACUGGGAGGAGGAUUAUUAUCUCUCAGUAUGUACUGGAGCUGGAGAACAUCAUGCUUUGCUUAGUAAAUGUUUUAAUUUGCACAAAUGAGAAGAUAAUUAUGAAAUACCCACCUGAAAGUACAAAUACUCAUUUAGAAGGCAUUAAAAAGUAAUUUUCAAGUAUAGUAAUAUAUAUUAUGAGUAGCCUUAAUGCAGCCUCUCUUGAGCUGAAAUAAUUAUGGGUGUUUCUGAUGGAACACUUCAAUUAGAUUGUUAGUUUGAACACCGAGAAGGUUCCUCAAAACAGGGUUAACUGGUUGGGUUCUAUAGGGAAAAUGUCUUCCCAUUUAGCCCUAAUGGCAUCAUUUUAAACAUUAAAAGCAAUUAGUGAUAUUAGUGAUUAUAGAACUAAUGUUCUUCAAUUUAUUGUUUCUUAACAUUUGCAAGUUAACAAGCUAAUUUCUAAAUCUAAUUCUAAUUCGUUCAUGAAAUCCAAAUUAACAGUCUGAGGUCACUUAUUUGCCUAGCAAGGAGAUCUUAACAACCUGCCUUUAAUGAUGGAAUAGGCCCAAUGAAAUCUUCCUCAGACACAUUAGCAA